AUAAUAAUAAUAUACAACAACAGAACACCUAAGUUGAAGCAUCCAGAUACCAAAAAUGCCAUCAAGUAUGUAUUGCGAACAAAACAUCAACGUCC